rnacentral:rRNA from 1 species
GACGAACGCUGGCGGCGUGCCUAAAACAUGCAAGUCGAACGGAGCCUUCGGGCUCAGUGGCGAACGGCGGAGUAAUACAUGAGGAACGUGCCCUGAAGACUGGGAUAGUCAUUGGAAACGAUGGGUAAUACCAGAUGUGGCAGCUGCUUGGCAUCAAGUAGCUAUUAAAUGGUUUUUUCGCUUCAGGAGCGCCUCAUGGCCUAUCAGGUAGUUGGUGGGGAAUGGCCUACCAAGCCGACGACGGGUAGCGGGUCUGAGAGGAUGAUCCGCUCGAGUGGGACUGAGACACGGCCCACACACCUACGGGUGGCAGCAGUUGGGAAUCUUGCACAAUGGGGGAAACCCUGAUGCAGCGACGCCGCGUGGAGAUGAAGGNUCUAGGUUCGUAAACUUCUUUUAUUGGGAAGACUUAGACGUACCCAAUGAAUAAGGACCGGCUAACUACGUGCCAG